GCGCGUCGGGCGCCCAGCAGAAGUCCCAGGGUCCCAGGACGCGGCUGGACGAGGCUCUGCAGAAUUGACUUGUCAAUGCGUUUUGGAUGGAUGUGAACAGAAGCAAGGACAAGGAAUGCCUAGGCUUGCCACUUGAUGGAGAAGUCAAGGGUGAGCGAACAAAGGUCAGAGAUUGUUCAGAGCUCCCUGGAAUGAAGGCACCCCACCGCUUUGGAUGAUAACUCCUGCUCAGUCUACCAAUCCCAGAGUCCAAAAGUCCUCCAAGUGAAAGGUUAUUCGAGUUGUACAAGAUAAGAUGAUGUUCUCCAUGUCAACUCCAUGUUACAAGAUCUUUUGAUCUGUUUUGAAGAAAAUCACCAAUGUUUUUUCUCUCACACCGGUUGACGUUAGCUUCAAAAGGCUAAUUAAUGGUCAAAUUCCAAGACCCCUUGGGAAUGCAAGCUGGUGCAGCCACUCUGGAAAA